GACGAACGCUGGCGGCGUGCUUAACACAUGCAAGUCUAACGGAAAGGCCCUGCUUUUGUGGGGUGCUCGAGUGGCGAACGGGUGAGUAACACGUGAGUAACCUGCCCUUGACUUUGGGAUAACUUCAGGAAACUGGGGCUAAUACCGGAUAGGAGCUCCUGCUGCAUGGUGGGGGUUGGAAAGUUUCGGCGGUUGGGGAUGGACUCGCGGCUUAUCAGCUUGUUGGUGGGGUAGUGGCUUACCAAGGCUUUGACGGGUAGCCGGCCUGAGAGGGUGACCGGCCACAUUGGGACUGAGAUACGGCCCAGACUCCUACGGGAGGCAGCAGUGGGGAAUAUUGCACAAUGGGCGGAAGCCUGAUGCAGCAACGCCGCGCGCGGGAUGACGGCCUUCGGGUUGUAAACCGCUUUCGCCUGUGACGAAGCGUGAGUGACGGUAAUGGGUAAAGAAGCACCGGCUAACUACGUGCCAGCAGCCGCGGCGAUACGUAGGGUGCGAGCGUUGUCCGGAUUUAUUGGGCGUAAAGGGCUCGUAGGUGGUUGAUCGCGUCGGAAGUGUAAUCUUGGGGCUUAACCCUGAGCGUGCUUUCGAUACGGGUUGACUUGAGGAAGGUAGGGGAGAAUGGAAUUCCUGGUGGAGCGGUGGAAUGCGCAGAUAUCAGGAGGAACACCAGUGGCGAAGGCGGUUCUCUGGGCCUUUCCUGACGCUGAGGAGCGAAAGCGUGGGGAGCGAACAGGCUUAGAUACCCUGGUAGUCCACGCUGUAAACGGUGGGUACUAGGUGUGGGGUCCAUUCCACGGGUUCCGUGCCGUAGCUAACGCUUUAAGUACCCCGCCUGGGGAGUACGGCCGCAAGGCUAAAACUCAAAGGAAUUGACGGGGCCCCGCACAAGCGGCGGAGCAUGCGGAUUAAUUCGAUGCAACGCGUAGAACCUUACCUGGGUUUGACAUGGAUCGGGAGUGCUCAGAGAUGGGUGUGCCUCUUUUGGGGUCGGUUCACAGGUGGUGCAUGGCUGUCGUCAGCUCGUGUCGUGAGAUGUUGGGUUAAGUCCCGCAACGAGCGCAACCCUUGUUCACUGUUGCCAGCACGUUAUGGUGGGGACUCAGUGGAGACCGCCGGGGUCAACUCGGAGGAAGGUGGGGAUGACGUCAAGUCAUCAUGCCCCUUAUGUCCAGGGCUUCACGCAUGCUACAAUGGCUGGUACAGAGAGUGGCGAGCCUGUGAGGGUGAGCGAAUCUCGGAAAGCCGGUCUCAGUUCGGAUUGGGGUCUGCAACUCGACCUCAUGAAGUCGGAGUCGCUAGUAAUCGCAGAUCAGCAACGCUGCGGUGAAUACGUUCCCGGG
rnacentral:rRNA from 1 species